rnacentral:rRNA from 1 species
AAUAGAUACCCUGGUAGUCCACGCCGUAAACGAUGGAUGCUAGCUGUUAUGCGUAUCGACCCGUGUAGUAGCGAAGCUAACGCGUUAAGCAUCCCGCCUGGGGAGUACGAACGCAAGUUUAAAACUCAAAGGAAUUGACGGGGACCCGCACAAGCGGUGGAGCGUGUUCUUUAAUUCGAGGCUAAGCGAAGAACCUUACCAGGGCUUGACAUCCUUGGAAUUUCUCCGAAAGGAGAGAGUACUUUAUUGGACCAAGUGACAGGUGCUGCAUGGCCGUCGUCAGCUCGUGUCGUGAGAUGUUUGGUUAAGUCCAUUAACGAGCGCAACCCUUAUGAAUAGUUGUAUUUUUCUAUUCAGACUGCCCCGGUAACGGGGAGGAAGGGGGGAUGAUGUCAGGUCAGUAUUGCCCUUACGCCCUGGGCUAGAAACGCGCUACAAUGGCCGGUACAAUGCGCUGCCAACCCGCGAGGGGAGCAAAUCGCAUCAAAGCCGGUCCCAGUUCGGAUAAGAGGCUGAAACUCGCCUCUUGAAGCCGGAAUCGCUAGU